rnacentral:lncRNA from 1 species
UCAAAAAAGCAAGUAUUAACAAAAAAAUUUUCGAAAAAAUUGGCUUCUUUAGUAAUCAAGGCAAGUAACAAUUAGUAUAAGCUAUUGGUUUCUAAAUCUAAACCAACAAAAGCUAGCAUCAGCAUACGUCAAACACUAACUCGAAAGUUCGACGUUGUUGUAUCUCGAGCUAUUCAAAGAAACAACUGAAAAACGAUUGUAUUUGAUCGAAUUGGAAUUUACAGCAGCCUUGCAACAAGUAUUUUGCCUCAAACACUUUGACUUAAAAAAAAAACGACAAAAUGUAGAAAGUUUUAAGUUUUAGUUUGUUUCAUAAUAAAAUAAUUAACAUGUUUAAAGAUGCUAAAACACAAAAUUAGCAAAGCAAAUUAAAAAACAACUUAUGCUUAACUUUAAUGAUGAGCAACAAAUAAAUAAAUCAACAACAGCAAUUUCAACAAUAACCAAACCAAGACAAAAGCUCAAUAAAGUUUUAAACAAGCCUUCAACUUGUUAAAAUACUGAAUGGUACCAGAGUGAAAAUUCAAAAGACAAGGUUUGGCUUUAUCAAAGGUGCAUACUAUACUGAUAUGUAAACGCAUCUAAUUUCAUUGUGUAGAAUGAAUUAUUUCUAUAUAUAUUUUUUCAAUCAAACAAAGUUUGUUAAAAAGCACUAAAAAAAAAAAAUUCUAUUCGAUUUGUAAAUAUUUAAAAACAGCUCAAAAUUCUUGCAACUUCAAAAAUAUAUAUUCAGUUUGAACCUGAUUUAUUCUAUCAACAAAAUAAUUUGAUCAAACUUUAAAAACACUUAUUUUUUCUGUUUUACUGAUUAAAUUUUUUUAAACUAAAUAGUUGAAGUAUUUCAAACAGUAAAAAAAAAAAAAAAAAAAAAAGGGUUUAAAACAGAUUGUAAUGCUUGAUUAACGGAAUUAUUAUUUAAAAGAAAAAUGUCUCAAAAAGGUGAAAACAACCUUUUGCAAUUUUUGCUUCUUUUUAAUUAAAUAGAGUAAAUAUUUUGAAGAAAUAAGUCGCUCGAAAUGUAACUUGAAAUGAAAAUAGAAAAAUUAAUUUAAAAAGAGAAAUGUAGCUCGAAAUUUCUCAUUUCAAACAUUUGUAUAAAAGUGGUCUAACCUUAAACACCAAAAUAUAAAAAAAAAAUAGUUUGCAUAUUGAUUUCUUAUUUUUAUUUUAACUUUUAUUUUGUUUAUUUUUUGUUAUUAGAUCAUAAAAAAAUUUCGGACAUUUUUUAAAAUCAAAUAAUCCGAAAUACUUUGCACUCUGCCUCGUGAGAGGCGUGUGUUUUUGUUGUUGCAGUUUGUUAUUCAAGCUAUAUAUGGUUUUUGUUUAUACAAUUAUUGAGUAUGUCAAAACUAAAGAGUACUUCAAGCUUGCUGUAGUUAUUUACAAUUAGUAUAACAUUACGCAUUAUGUUGUGUAUUAUUUUCGCAUGCAUUGAGUGACAUCCAAAGUAACCUUUUAACAUAGAUUGUCAGAAACAUAAAACAAUGAAUAUAAAUAUAUAGAAAGUUUUAAUUGUAUUUUUACAUUUUAAGCAUAUUUUUAUCGAGUAUUAGUUUAGAAGUUUUCAAUACUGUAUAAAAAGUAUAAACCAUUUCGUAGCAAAACUAUGCCACGUGUAUACCACACAGACAAAACAAAUUAAUUCCAGAUAAUAUAUAAAUUAUGCUAAGCGUUAAAUUUUAAAUUCUUCGGCAGCUAUCAAUAGAGCGGUUUAACAAAGCGGUUUACACGUUUAUGGAGUGUUGAUACUAUGUAUAAUAAUAUAAUAAGGUUGAAAAACUUAAUCCAAAAACACCUGGAAAACUCACAGCUUUUACAAAUAUGCAAGAACUAGCUAUUCUACAGCAGGUUAUUGUUGUUGGUGCUUGUUAUUGAUGCUUGGGUUUUUUUUGAUAGAUAUUGUAAAUACUUGUGUUCUUGGAAAGUCAAAUUUGGGUAUUGAGGAAAGAAUCGUUUCCUAAUUUUUUAAUAAUCUUCCUGGAAAAGAUUGAGUCCUCUCAUUUUUUAAAAUAUUGUAAUGCUGACCUCACUUGAAGUAAUGUUGAAGAUUUUUUGCAUUCGAUGACUUUAAUUUGAUUUGCUGGUUUGAGAAUAGAUUACAAUUAACUUUAUCAGAUUUAUCAAAUUCAAGCUUUUGUAAGUUGUUAGACUUUCUUUAACUACCCUCUCAUUUUUAAUAUGCUAUACAUAAACCAAAAGUUAAUAAUAUCAUAUCAUUAUAAUACUGUUUAAACAAAAAAUUUUAUGGCAUUUAUCUUUUCGGUACAAUUUUGCAAUAAUUGUCCUUUUCCAUCCAACUAGAUAUUGGUGUUGUAUAUUUAGUGUCUGCAGGCCUUACACUCCAUUGUCAAACAAGUCUUGUACAUAAUAAAUCGUAUUUGAUUUUUUUUGAUACUUACAUAGUUUGACAUUCUCCAAAAAAAUGUCCGAUUAAAAACGUUAAGUAAGUUGAUAAGAAAUCUUUGAACAAAAAGUAUAAUGAAGCAUCAUAAUGUAAAAACAUACCAAUAUAGAGAUGAACUUCUUUUGUCAAAACAUCUUUUUUUAUCAGAACGUGAUGAAGAAAAAUGCAUGUUUUGACAGAAGAACUAGCCUUUUAGGUUGCAUCACUUUGAUUGCAAACUAAGUUUGAUGGUAAUAUUUUAAUUUAAUUUUGUUGUAAAAUAAGUGGGUUGUUUGACAAAAACUAAAGCAAUGUAAUAUUCCUCUAAAGACGGUCAAUAAUUAAUGAAGUGAUAAACAAUUAUCAAUGUGUUGACUCUCUCGGCUAAUAGUUAAUAUAAUCAAAGUGUUUACUUUCUCUAUAAAUUCAUUUCUAUAUAUACGAAUUUCACUUGCUAAUAAAUUAAAUUAGUAAUAUUAUUCUUAUCUCUUGAAAAACAUCAUAAUAAUUACAAAAUCUUCAGUUUAAACAAAAUGCCAAACAACAAUUUUAAGAAAGAGGAUAUUGAAAACGCUUUGAAACAUCAUCAAGAGUAAUUAAUAUCGUCAAGAAAGUAUGGAGUUAAACAUCAAUGUUCCGAAAUCAACAUUGAUUGACAGAAAUAAAUGCAGAUCAGCAUGGUAGCAGAAAACCAACAGUUUUGUAUUAAAAAUUGCAUUAAACAGAGCGUCAUCUUGACACUCUGUUUAAUGCAACAAUAAAUUUAUUUAUUAUAACAUAAACAACUACUUCAAUGCAUCACGGAUUUACUUACCGUUUUCUGCCGUUUAUAAACCUAAAAAAUACUUAUGUUAAUUAUGGUACAAUAUUGGUCGACAGCAACAGUUUAACAAGAUCAGAUUUAUGGUGGAUGAAGAAAUCGCAAUUUAUUGAAUAGUAACUGCAGUUGUUUAUCUCAGAAGUUACAAUAACUGGCAGAGUAUCUUGAUCUAAUGAUCACAGCAAUUAUUUUUCAUUAAAAUUUGUUGAUAUAUAUUAAGGUAAAUAUGCACGAUAACAACCAGUUUAUUUGAGUCUACGUCAUAUUUUGAAAAGACGUGGUAAAUUUUGAAAAGACGAAUAAAUUGUUACCUUAAAAAAAUCUGGAAAAAAAAUUAAAAUUAUAUUAUGAAUUAUCAAAAUCCGAAAAUGAUGGUAAAGCUAAUUUUCCAAGUAUAUUGAAAAUUUUAUGUAAAUGUAUCAAGUACUUCAUUAGGACAUACACAUUCAGUCAUUUGCAAACAGGGCUAUUUUCUUCAAACAAAUCAUUUAUUGACAUAUAAAAUUGAAAAUAAAAUAAGCAUUUAAAAAUUCAGCAGCAGAACCUGCAUUACCAUCAGCAUUGACUAUAUCAUCAGCUGCACAUCGUUCAUCGUCAAUUUCAUCUAUACUCACAACACUUAUGUUAUUUACUUUGGUUGAAUAUUAUAAGAAAACUCGCAUUUUAACUUAAAACAGGCUAGAAUCUGCAUUAAAAACUUUUUUUCAACAAAUUAAUACCUUUGAUAAACAAAUCAAGACAUAAAAUAAAAAAUUAAAUUCAAGAAUUAAAGAAAAAACUUUGACUUAAAAAAAAAACGCAGAAGUUCGAACAGUGAAAGAAAAACAAAAUAAAAAAGGUUACAAAACGGACUACUCAGACAAUGCAGCCAUGUCAAGUAACCAGCAAAAAUAUUUUAAUAUUAAAAAUGUAAAUUAUUUAUGAUUCAAUGAUUCUAUAUACAAACCAUUUAUGUUAAUUGUAGUUUUGAAAUCUAAUUCGUACUCUAAAGCAAUGUCGUUAAGGUACCACAACUUAGUUUAGUUAGAUCUUUAAGACAAAAAGUUAAAAAAAAGCUAGGGUAUCUAACCUAUCAAAUUGGCUAGCUAAAAACAGAAUGAUGGGUUAGGAAAAAAUGCAAGUCAUGAUGCAUCUUUUUAAAAAUGAAAUUU